rnacentral:rRNA from 1 species
GACGAACGCUGGCGGCGUGCUUAACACAUGCAAGUCGAACGGAAAGGCCCUGCUUUUGUGGUGUGCUCGAGUGGCGAACGUGUGAGUAACACGUGAGUAACCUGCCCUUGACUUUGGUAUAACUUCAGGAAACUGUGUCUAAUACCGGAUAGGAGCUCCUGCUGCAUGGUGGGGGUUGGAAAGUUUUGUCGGGGGGGGAUGGGCUCGCGGCUUAUCAGCUUGUUGGGGGGGUAAUGGCCGACCAAGGCUGUGACGGGUAGCCGGCCUGAGAGGGUGGCCGGGCACAGUGGGAAUGGGAUACAGCCCAGACUCCUACGGGAGGCAGCAGUGGGGAAUAUUGCAAAAUGGGCGCAAGCCUGAGGCAGCGACGCCGCGGGGGGGAUGACGGCCUUCGGGUUGGAAACUCCUUUCGCUAGGGACGAAGCGUUUUGUGACGGUAACUAGAUAAGAAGCACGGGCUAACUACGUG